GACCACUUCUUUUUGAAGUCAAGGCCAUACGGACAGCCGGGUCCACUGCCGA
rnacentral:sRNA from 1 species